UGAGAUUACUAUCAUGCAUACAACCUUGGAUAAUGAAGGUUCGACAGUUUUAAAAUAGUGACCCCUGGACUAAUACUAGGGACCCAAAAGUUAAAUGUAGAAGUACCGGUAUAUAUGGAAAAUGUUUAAAAAUCUUCUUUUCGAGAACUACAAUGCAUCAAUUUGUCAGAUAACUACGUAAGCACCCUCAAAUAGUGUAGAUUCGAAAUUAUAAAAGCCGUGACCUCAAUCUAAUACUGGGGCCCCAAGAGGUGUUCAAAGUUUAGCAUAGAAAUAUAGAGGGAAAAUGUUGAAAAAUCUUUUUCUAGGGAACUAUAAUGCUUCAGCUUGUGAGAUAACUAUGCAAGCAUCCUUAAAUAAUGUAGAUUCCAAAUAAUAAAAACUUUAGCCCUGGACUAAUACUGUGGCCCCAAGAGGGGUUCAAAGUUUAACAUAGAAAGAUAUAUUGAACAUGUUUUUAAAAAGUUUUUCUCGAGAACUAAAAUGGUACAGUUUGUGAGAUUACUAUGCAAGGAUCCUCAAAUUGUGUAAACUCUAAUGUAGUGGAACCAAGAGUUAUCUUUCUUGAUGUUCUGUACAGUCUAAGAGUUAUUCCUCUUAAAGUGGAACUCUGCACUGUUCAGUUUUUCAGGUUGUGUACGUGCGGUCCCACCGCAGUGCUACACAUUUUCAUUCCUAUGUUACUAUUUAUAUUGUUCAAGCCAACCAUAAACCUCGGACCAUAACUGGGUCCCCCGAAAGGAGUUCAAUGUUUAAAAUAGAAAAAGCAUAUGCUACGAAAUGUAAUGUUACAAGGAACUGCUGUUCAGGUGAGCGAUGUGGCCCAUGGGCCUCUUGUAUUAUAAAUUUGUUAAUUAAUAAAGCCAAAAAUAAAAAAAUUGAUGUAAUUACCAGGUAGUAAAAGUAUUGUGAGAAUUUUUACUGAAAAUUCAUGCUUCUUUCACAUAAAAUCUACAUUAAACCUUAGUAUGAUAAGUUACCGGAAAAUGAUAUUUAAGAGAUAUUGUUUAAUUUGAAAGCUUUUUGUAUUUGAUAUUCUUAAACAAAAAAAGUGAUUUGAAGUGAUUUCAAUAGAAUUGAAUAUACAAAUUUGGCAAAAAUGAAUGGUAACCAAUUGUUGACCUUAAAGACAGUAUUUUAGUGCAUGUGAUACAUGAUAUUCAUGUAUCACAUACCAAUGCAUUAAUGUAUUGAUAUGAUAGAUUUUGUUGUUACAUGUAGUACAAUUUGAUAUCAGAGAUAGUGAUCUGAGCAAAUAUGCUAUUCCAAGCUGCUGCUUUUUAUAUGUUUUUUUGUGUUUUAAUUUUAGUCUCCUAUUAUGUGUUUUAUGAGAUAAUACACAGUCAUGCAUCUGUUGUAAACUUACCAAAAAAUAGGCCUCGGAACAACCUCCCCCCCUACCCUGGCAAACAGAAUUAUCCCUUGGACCCUCCUGGAAAAAUUUUCUAGAUACACACAUUCUAUGAACACUGCAAGUUAUGGUGAUGAGGCAUUUUGACAAUUUGAAUGCAGUGCUAUGCAUGCUUUUAAUAUGUUUUACUGUACAUGUAACAGCUAGGCUUCUUUUAUGUCUCAUUCCACACAAAGGUUAUUCCAUGCAUUCAUAUGUACAAGUUUAGAAGACAGAUUUUAUCAAAUUGUUUUAAAGUACCAUGUACAAUGAAUAUAAUUAUGGUGUAUCAUUGUAACAGUUUAUGAUUGAUAAUCAUUUUAUGUCAACAUAUUACAUGUAUAAUACUUUAUAAAUAUUUCCAUGUUAUCGUAGUACAUCGUUUGCAGGUUAAUGUUUAUUGAAGAACAAUGAUUGCUGUCAUAUAAAAGUAAAUUUAUUGAUUUAGGGGGACAGCUGAUAGCAACUUUACAAGCUGUAUGAAGCGUCCUAUAUGAUCUAUGUACCAUAUCAUAAACGCAUGUAAUAUCCAAAACAUACAUGUACGUAUAUAAUACAUUUAUUUGUAAUUUUCAGAUCAUGCUUUGUUAUUGAAUUCAUUUUUUUCUUAUUAUAUAUAUUUGUGAGAUACUGAUAUGAGAUCUUUGGGUUAUCUUUGGUCAUGUGUGAAUUAGCUGAUACAUACAUGCUAUACUAUUCAUUUUGUUUCUCGUAUAUGCUUGUACUUGACUCUCAUUGGUCAGAGAGAAUGUACACUCAAUUACUGCAUUGUAAAUUUAUAAGCUUUGGUUACACCAUAAUUUAUGCUGGUUGUUUAGAAUUGAGUGAGGUGGUUUAACAACAGUGGUGGGUUCAUCUGUUCCUUGAUGGUUUGAAAAACCAAAUCCUUGAUUUUAACAUGUAUACAUGUAUUACAAAAUGAAACUUAAGGAAGAACCAAGACCCAUCACUGUAAUAUACACUGCAUUAUUUUAACCAAAAUUUUCAUGUUUUUUCUAUUGUCACAAAAUCAUGUUGUAAGAUUUGGUUGAAAUUGCUAUUAGAAUUUAACACAUCUUAAGCUUAUCGUGUUAUACUCUGCCAUUAUGUUUUCUGAAAAACUACAAAUCCAGCCCAUUAUGGUAAAAGCAAAUAAAUUGCUUUCAUG
rnacentral:sRNA from 1 species